GACGAACGCUGGCGGCGUGCUUAACACAUGCAAGUCGAACGGAAAGGCCCUGCUUUUGUGGGGUGCUCGAGUGGCGAACGGGUGAGUAACACGUGAGUAACCUGCCCUUGACUUUGGGAUAACUUCAGGAAACUGGGGCUAAUACCGGAUAGGAGCUCCUGCUGCAUGGUGGGGGUUGGAAAGUUUCGGCGGUUGGGGAUGGACUCGCGGCUUAUCAGCUUGUUGGUGGGGUAGUGGCUUACCAAGGCUUUGACGGGUAGCCGGCCUGAGAGGGUGACCGGCCACAUUGGGACUGAGAUACGGCCCAGACUCCUACAGGAGGCAGCAGUGGGGAAUAUUGCACAAUGGGCGGAAGCCUGAUGCAGCAACGCCGCGUGCGGGAUGACGGCCUUCGGGUUGUAAACCGCUUUCGCCUGUGACGAAGCGUGAGUGACGGUAAUGGGUAAAGAAGAACCGGCUAACUACGUG
rnacentral:rRNA from 1 species